GCACUGUUUGGACUAGGGGCCCUUCUCGGGUUACCGAAUUCAGAUAAACUCCGAAUGCCAUGUACUUAUACUCGGGAGUCAGACUGCGAGUGAUAAGAUCCGUAGUCGAAAGGGAAACAGCCCAGACCACCAGUUAAGGUCCCCAAAUAUAUGUUAAGUGGAAAAGGAUGUGGGGUUGCUUAGACAACCAGGAUGUUGGCUUAGAAGCAGCCACCAUUGAAAGAGUGCGUAAUAGCUCACUGGUCGAGUGACCCCGCGCCGAAAAUGUACCGGGGCUAAACAUAUUACCGAAACUGUGGAUGAACCUCUUUAGAGGUUCGUGGUAGGAGAGCGUUCUAAGGGCGGUGAAGUCAGACCGGAAGGACUGGUGGAGCGCUUAGAAGUGAGAAUGCCGGUAUGAGUAGCGAAAGAAGGGUGAGAAUCCCUUCCACCGAAUAUCUAAGGUUUCCUGAGGAAGGCUCGUCCGCUCAGGGUUAGUCGGGACCUAAGCCGAGGCCGAUAGGCGUAGGCGAUGGACAACAGGUAGAGAUUCCUGUACCAGUGCUAAUUGUUUAACCGAUGGGGUGACACAGAAGGAUAGGGAAUCGCACGAAUGGAAAUGUGCGUCCAAGCAGUGAGUGUGAGAAGUAGGCAAAUCCGCUUCUCGCGAAGCAUGAGCUGUGAUGGGGAAGGAAAUUAAGUACGGAAGUUCCUGAUUUCACGCUGUCAAGAAAAGCCUCUAGGAAGAGUAGUACUGCCCGUACCGCAAACCGACACAGGUAGAUGAGGAGAGAAUCCUAAGGUGAGCGAGAGAACUCUCGUUAAGGAACUCGGCAAAAUGACCCCGUAACUUCGGGAGAAGGGGUGCUCUAUUAGGGUGCAAGCCCGAGAGAGCCGCAGUGAAUAGGCCCAGGCGACUGUUUAGCAAAAACACAGGUCUCUGCAAAACCGUAAGGUGACGUAUAGGGGCUGACGCCUGCCCGGUGCUGGAAGGUUAAGAGGAGUGCUUAGCUUCGGCGAAGGUACGAAUUGAAGCCCCAGUAAACGGCGGCCGUAACUAUAACGGUCCUAAGGUAGCGAAAUUCCUUGUCGGGUAAGUUCCGACCCGCACGAAAGGCGCAACGAUCUGGGCACUGUCUCAACGAGAGACUCGGUGAAAUUAUAGUACCUGUGAAGAUGCAGGUUACCCGCGACAGGACGGAAAGACCCCGUGGAGCUUUACUGCAACCUGAUAUGGAAUGUUUGUACCGCUUGUACAGGAUAGGUAGGAGCCGAAGAGACGUGUGCGCUAGCAUACGAGGAGGCAAUGGUGGGAUACUACCCUGGCUGUAUGACCAUUCUAACCCGCCACGCUUAGCGCGUGGGGAGACAGUGUCAGGUGGGCAGUUUGACUGGGGCGGUCGCCUCCUAAAGAGUAACGGAGGCGCCCAAAGGUUCCCUCAGAAUGGAUGGAAAUCAUUCGCAGAGUGUAAAGGCACAAGGGAGCUUGACUGCGAGACUGACAAGUCGAGCAGGGACGAAAGUCGGGCUUAGUGAUCCGGUGGUUCCGCAUGGAAGGGCCAUCGCUCAACGGAUAAAAGCUACCCCGGGGAUAACAGGCUUAUCUCCCCCAAGAGUCCACAUCGACGGGGAGGUUUGGCACCUCGAUGUCGGCUCGUCGCAUCCUGGGGCUGUAGUCGGUCCCAAGGGUUGGGCUGUUCGCCCAUUAAAGCGGCACGCGAGCUGGGUUCAGAACGUCGUGAGACAGUUCGGUCCCUAUCCGUCGCGGGCGCAGGAAAUUUGAGAGGAGCUGUCCUUAGUACGAGAGGACCGGGAUGGACACACCGCUGGUGUACCAGUUGUUCCGCCAGGAGCAUCGCUGGGUAGCUAUGUGUGGCAGGGAUAAACGCUGAAAGCAUCUAAGCGUGAAGCCCCCCUCAAGAUGAGAUUUCCCAUUUCUUCGGAAAGUAAGAUCCCUGAAAGAUGAUCAGGUAGAUAGGUUUGGAGUGGAAGUGUAGCGAUACAUGGAGCGGACAAAUACUAAUCGAUCGAGGACUUAACCAAAA
rnacentral:rRNA from 1 species